rnacentral:rRNA from 1 species
UACGGAGGGUGCGAGCGUUGUCCGGAAUCAUUGGGCGUAAAGGGCGCGUAGGUGGCCCGGUCAGUCUUUGGUGAAAGCGCGGGGCUCAACCCUGCGUCGGCCAGGGAUACUGCCGCGGCUCGAGCACUGUAGAGGCAGGCGGAAUUCCGGGUGUAGCGGUGGAAUGCGUAGAGAUCCGGAGGAACACCGAUGGCGAAGGCAGGUCUCUGGGCCACUACUGACGCUGAGAAGCGAAAGCAUGGGGAGCGAACAGG